AGGAGACCAUAUCUCCCAAGAAUAUUUUGUACAGAGAUUCAUGACGGCUCUAGAAAGCGGAGUCGCCCUAUAUGGUGAUACGACUGUGUGCGCAAAAAUGAUAUGAAGUCGUUCAACAUCAAUGUAGAAAGCUGGGAGGAGCACGCACAAACCCAUCCAAUCUGGAGGGAACAUCUGGCACUGGGUGCAGCUCAACAUGAAGCGGCUUUGAUCCAGAGGAUGGAAGCAAAGCAAGAAAAAAAGAGCAGCAUGCUACAAACUUGGUCUCCAUUUCAGACAACACAUGGAUUUGUGAAACUUGUAACAAGCUGUCACUCUCAAACUCUGCUUGUCAGCCAUAAGCAGAUUCAUCAGGCACCUAACUAGACCUCUGACGUGCACGCCCUGAUCCAGUGGAUUGACGGUUGCCUAGAGAUAUACACACACAUAGAACCAAAGGCUUUGGCUUUUCAUCUCUCACGCUCCAGACCAGCAAAGACUUGGAGCACUGAAGAAGUCUUACAGGAGCUGUAAGAUGAGCUGUAAGACUCCAGCCUAGGCACUGCUAUCUGGAUGAGCAGAUGCCACAAGAUGGGACCUUCUGAGAAGAACAUUAGCUGUUUGUGGUCACCUUCCGUCUGCUGAGCUCAAAAUAUUUUACCGACAUUAAUUACAGCCUCACAACCCUCCAGCAGGCGAGAUAGAUGUUCCUCUGCCUAUCUCCCUCUGUGGAUCGCUCUGGAGUUCUGGCGGUGGAGAGGGGUCCUGACGUCUAGAAUGAGGCAGCACUGCUCAUGCCUGGAGGCAGAAACAAAGGUCAGAGAAUGCCCUGCAACGUGUGUGGUGCUAGCUUUGGAGAACAAUCCAUCCAGCAGACACGGCUGCAGCAGUUGAGUGAAACAAUCUACGCUUCCUUAAAUUAUCCAGACUCCUCUUGACUAACCCUCCCAGCUUCUGCAAGUGCCAUGUAGGACCACUACCAGGUACUGCAGCUCCUCCAGAUGAGCCAACGUCUGACACAGGAAGCUAGCACAAGAGGAUCUGCAGGACAGAAGAGUUUCAACAGUGGCAGAAUCAUUCACAGACUUAUUCAGCAAACCUGGAGAUGGAAAGGAGGAGAGAACUGAGGUUUAGUCUGGAAUGACUGUAGAGAGAAGGUGAGCAUGUGCACUAAAAGCUGAUUGGCAGCUGAAGCCACAAACAGGCUGGGGUCUCCCUGCAGAGUGAAGAUCACAUCUAUGGCUCCUAUGUAAAAG